UUGUUUUACAGAUGAGGAAACAGACUCAGAGAAGAUAACUGACUGAUUGUUACAACUAUCAGAACAGGAAUUUGGUUCCUAGAAGAUCUAGAAUGGCCAUAUAACCAUGCUUUCAGUUUGUUCAGACUGGCAUCAUCAGUGAAAAUUCAUCAAUAAGAAUUACUAGAAGGUUGGUGUUGAUUAAAAAAAAAAAAGUAUAAAAUGGUCCCUCCCUCCAUGAAAACACCUUCACAAAACUAAAAAUCUACCAAAAAAGUUCCCAGUGUUAAGACGACUACCACCCUGUUACAUUUAAACUUCCUCAGGCUCCUUGGGUAACUGUUGAGAGGAAAUAUAUUUCCUCUAUUCACCUUCUAGUCCUUGUUCCCAUCCAAUGCAUGU
rnacentral:lncRNA from 1 species